CCCUGGCUCCUCUCUCUCCUUCUCUUCCCCUCCUCCUUCUCAUCCCCGCCCCUCGGCCUGACGGCGGAGCGCCGAGCCCUCGAUCGAGCCCGCCGCUCCGUGCCGCUCCGCUCCCCGCCUCGGCGCCAUUAGGGAGCUGCGGCGGUUGGGGCCGCCCGGCCGCGCCGGGAGCCGGGCUGAGGCGAAGCCCUCCCGCCGCCUCUCUCCUCCCCCACACUUCUUCCAGAACCGACCUUGGGCUGCGGGACGAGCUCAGCCGGAGCGGCCCAUGACCGCCCGACCCAGCCCCUUCCCUUUAGUCCUCCUGAGGCGCCCGCAGCGCUGCCGCCAGCCUGGCGUUGCAGUCGGCUCCCGGUACCCCCGCCGUUCAGCCCUGCCUGGGAUCAGUCUCUUGGAGGUUUUUUUGAGGGUGAAGCGAGCGGGGCAGAGGAGCAGCGAGUCCACUCUCGGGGCUGUGUGUGCGCACCCCUCAGCCCGCACUCCGCCUCAGCCUUCAGCCCUCACCUCAGCCCUCAGCCCGGAGCCGUCCCUGUGCACAGGCGCUCCCCGCUCCUGAAGGGAAGGGGCAGAAAUUCCCCAGGUGCUGAGCGGGCUGGGGUGGGAGCCGCUGGGAAAGGUUUCUGGGAGAGAACUUUAAAAAAUGGUGUGCGGGCAGCGGUGUUGCGGCAGGGAGCGGCUGUCAGACCCAAGCCGGAGGUGGUGGGUCGGUGCUGAGGGCCCAGGGACUGCCCGGUACCACCAGCACCUCUUCCAACCUAAGCUCCGAAAAUCUACAGCUUGUUAAAUGCAGCCACAGAUGAAGCAUGCAGUGACUUCACUGCUUCCCUGGAGAGGCUGGAUUCUGGAAGCAGAUCCAUUUGAGCAGUGCCCACACUCAGGGAACUCAGAGGAGCUGAGAUUAAACAGGAAGCAGAGGCAUGAAUGCAGCCCUCACAGGAAGACAAAGAGCAGAAAGUGUCUGGAAGUCCUGGCCAGUCUUCAUUCCUUCCCCCAGCCAUUCCUGCAAGCAGAGGAUCAUCAAGUUCUGUAAUGAAAUCUGGUAGUGUUUCCUCAGAAAUAAAAUUGCUACUAGAAUCCCUUUCUUGCAAUGCCCACAUGCUCCCAAUGCACCACCAACCAUUUACAGUACAGGAGUGGAAGCUUUGAUGGGAAAGAGCUAAUCUGAGCAGAGGAGAUAAAACAGGCUACACAUCCCCUUCAAGGAGGGGGUAAAUGCCCAACUUCUGGUUGCUCCAGUCAGUGUUGCCACAGAGGCUUGAGGAUCUGAGGACUUCUAAAGACUUUCUAAACACUAUUUUUCAAUGUGCAAACUGAAAGCACUUGAACAGGGCACAAAGCUGUCUCCAGUCUGAGUACAGAAUUAGUUCUGGUGUUUUAAUCCUUUUCACAACCAACUUAGUACCCGUUUAUCCUACAUGAAGUGCUUAGCUCUCUCAAGAUAGCAGCCAUCCAGCUUUGUGCUUAGUGAGCAAUACAUGAUGCACUGUUCAAAGGAAAACCAUAUCCACUGGUUGGAACUCUUGCUCAUGACAAAACAAGAUGUCUAAGUGUACAGCCAGCUUUAAUAUAUCAUCUGAAGAAGACCAGAGCUACUUCUGCACCUUGAAAACAUUCUUUGAUUAAAUACUGAUUACAAUCUUCCCUCCCAUAAAAAAUAUAAUGUAUAUAUGUUUAUGUAUAGCAUUUCAAAAUCAAAGCCUUGUACUUACUGCAUCUUCCUCUGCAUGUCAUCUGAUGGCACUGGGAACAGAUCCCAGCAUCCCAGAAUGCAGCUUGGCAGGUAUUACUCUUCUGCUUAUAAUGGGCUCUCUAAUUGCGAUGCAUUUUUUUCCCCCUUUUGAACUAGCUAACUAACCUGUAAUUUUUCUUGGUAUCUGCCCAAAGCUAAAUGAAAUAUCUCAUACACCCAAGGAAUUCCUCAUCUGCUACAGGUGACUUCAGAUUGGGAGUUGCCAUCACCCAACAGGAAUGAAUCUACAUGUAAACCAGGUUUCAAUAAUAUCCCCAGGAAAGACAGAUCACUUGUACUUCCAUUUUUAUGCUGUUUAUUAGUUCUUAUAAGAAGAAGAGUGAAGCCUGCAUGCAAGUCUCCUCUCCUGAGCUCUAACACAAGAGAGAUUUGGCUCAUUGAACAAGUAUUGACUUGAUUUAAUAAGGCAAGAAGAACCUCAAGGAGCAAUUGCAGCUGCUGCUGCUACCCACUAGCUUCAGGUGCUUAGCAGUCCAGCUGAUCAGCAACUAAUAUGCUUAAGUUUGACACACUUUUUCUUCCCCAUUUUGUAAAAUCAGGGCUGGUGGUGUUAUUUUGCAGUUGGCACCUUGCACACAGGUAAAGGGAUGAGAACAAAGGAGCUUCCACUGUCACUAUUUGAAAAGGUUCUGCAAUUGUUGUGUGUAUGGAAACAUGGGGAUGGGGCUGCAAUGAAAUGCAAUGCAAUGAUAAUGGGUCUACAGCAGAAAUAAAAUAAAAUAAAAUAAAAUAAAAAUAAAAUAAAAUACAAUAAAUUAAAAUAAAAUAGGCUUGAACUAAAUGCCAGCCCUGCCUCCCUUUCCUUCAUUCUGAAUUUGUCCUGCCUCCUGCUCCUUCAGUUGUUCCCAUAGCCUCUUCCUGAGGAGCAGAUAAGAGACUUACUGGCCUUACCAGCUGUCUCUUUUUCCAGGUUAAGGUUGCUGGGUGGCCUGCUUGUCUCUCAGGGGACAAAAUCCUGUCCCCUGCCUUAAAGGGGGAGCACACAGCUUCUCAAGGACUGCCAUUGAACUGGGACUUUCUUCUGCUCUUUCCUUUGUUGCAGACUUUUGUUCUGCAGUGCAGCAGCUUUAUAGACUUCUCCUUUCUGCAACAGCAUAGAGGGGAGGCA